rnacentral:rRNA from 1 species
GACGAACGCUGGCGGCGUGCUUAACACAUGCAAGUCGAGCGGAAAGGCCCUUCGGGGUACUCGAGCGGCGAACGGGUGAGUAACACGUGAGUAACCUGCCCUAGGCUUUGGGAUAACCCUCGGAAACGGGGGCUAAUACUGGAUAUUCCCGCGGGAUCGCAUGGUUUUGUGGGGAAAGGUUUUCCGGCUUGGGAUGGGCUCGCGGCCUAUCAGCUUGUUGGUGGGGUGAUGGCCUACCAAGGCGACGACGGGUAGCCGGCCUGAGAGGGCGACCGGCCACACUGGGACUGAGACACGGCCCAGACUCCUACGGGAGGCAGCAGUGGGGAAUAUUGCACAAUGGGCGGAAGCCUGAUGCAGCGACGCCGCGUGAGGGAUGACGGCCUUCGGGUUGUAAACCUCUUUCAGCCCUGACGAAGCGCAAGUGACGGUAGGGGCAGAAGAAGCGCCGGCCAACUACGUGCCAGCAGCCGCCGUAACAC